rnacentral:rRNA from 1 species
UACGAAGGGUGCAAGCGUUGUUCGGAUUUAUUGGGCGUAAAGGGCGCGUAGGCGGAAUCUUAAGUCAGGUGUGAAAUCUCGGAGCUCAACUCCGAAACUGCGCCUGAAACUAAGACUCUAGAAUAUCGGAAGGGAAAGCGGAAUUUCGCAUGUAGGAGUAAAAUCCGUAGAGAUGCGAAGGAACACCAGAGGCGAAGGCGGCUUUCUGGACGAUAAUUGACGCUAAGGCGCGAAAGCGUGGGGAGCAAACAGG